GCCUGCGGCUUAAUUUGACUCAACACGGGGAAACUCACCAGGUCCGGACACAACUAGGAUUGACAGAUUGAUAGCUUUUUCUUGAUUUUGUGGGUGGUGGUGCAUGGCCGUUCUUAGUUGGUGGAGUGAUUUGUCUGCUUAAUUGCGAUAACGAACGAGACCUUAACCUGCUAAAUAGCCCAUUCAGCUUCGGCUGGUUGUUGGCUUCUUAGAGGGACAUUCGGCUCAAGCCGACGGAAGUUUGAGGCAAUAACAGGUCUGUUAUGCCCUUAGAUGUUCUGGGCCGCACGCGCGCUACACUGACAAAGCCAACGGGCUGAUUAUUCCUUGGCCGAAAGGCCCGGGUAAUCCUUGAAACUUUGUCGUGCUGGGGAUAGGGCAUUGCAAUUGUUGCCCUUCAACGAGGAAUGCCUAGUAAGCAUGUGUCAUCAGCAUGUGUUGAUUACGUCCCUGCCCUUUGUACACACCGCCCGUCGCUACUACCGAUUGGAUGGCUCAGUGAGAACUUUGGACCAAUUGAGGCCGAUGGCAACAUCGGCCUUAUGUUGGAAAGUUGUUCAAACUCGGU
rnacentral:rRNA from 1 species